UACGUAGGGUGCGAGCGUUGUCCGGAAUUAUUGGGCGUAAAGAGCUCGUAGGCGGUGUGUCGCGUCGGUCGUGAAAACUUGGGGCUUAACUCUGAGCUUGCGGUCGAUACGGGCAUCACUGGAGUUCGGCAGGGGAGACUGGAAUUCCUGGUGUAGCGGUGAAAUGCGCAGAUAUCAGGAGGAACACCGGUGGCGAAGGCGGGUCUCUGGGCCGAUACUGACGCUGAGGCGCGAAAGCUAGGGGAGCAAACGGG
rnacentral:rRNA from 1 species